rnacentral:rRNA from 1 species
GACGAACGCUGGCGGCGUGCUUAACACAUGCAAGUCGAGCGGUAAGGCCCUUUCGGGGGUACACGAGCGGCGAACGGGUGAGUAACACGUGGGUGACCUGCCCUUAGCUCUGGGAUAAGCCUGGGAAACUGGGUCUAAUACCGGGAUAUGACUCCAUGACGCAUGUUGUGGGGUGGAAAGCCUUGUGCGGCUAGGGAUGGGCCCGCGGCCUAUCAGCUUGUUGGUGGGGUGAUGGCCUACCAAGGCGACGACGGGUAGCCGGCCUGAGAGGGCGACCGGCCACACUGGGACUGAGACACGGCCCAGACUCCUACGGGAGGCAGCAGUGGGGAAUCUUGCGCAAUGGGCGAAAGCCUGACGCAGCGACGCCG